CACCCAGGCUCCCCAGGGAAUGGGGAAUGAGGUGAAGCUGUUCCAGGAGAUGUUUAGGAUGGAUUUUAGGGAAAGGUUCUUCCUCCACAGAGCCCCCAGGGAAUGAGGUGAAGCUGUGCCAGGGAAGGUUUAGGAUGGAUUUUAGGGAAAGGUUCUUCCUCCACAGUGCCCAGGCUUCUCAGGAAAUGGGAUGAAACUGCCAGGGGAGGUUUAGGAUGGAUUUUAGGGAAAGGUUUUCCUCCACAGAGUCCCCAGAAAAUGGGAUGAAGCUGUUCCAGGGGAUGUUUAGGAUGGAUUUUAGGGAAAGGUUUUUCCUCCACAGUGUCCCCAGGGAAUGGGAUGAAGCUGUUCCAGGGAACGUUUAGGAUGGAUUUUAGGGAAAGGUUCUUCCUCCACAGAGCCCCCAGGGAAUGAGGUGAAACUGUGCCAGGGAAGGUUUAGGAUGGAUUUUAGGGAAAGGUUUUCCUCCACAGUGCCCAGGCUUCUCAGGAAAUGGGAUGAAACUGCCAGGGAAGGUUUAGGAUGGAUUUUAGAGCCCCCAGAGGGUGCUGGGCACACCCAGGCUCCCCAGGGAAUG